GUCAUUGACGCCAUGAGCGCGCUGCUGCGGCUACUGCGCACGGGUGCCCCAGCCGCUGCGUGCCUGCGGUUGGGGACCAGUGCAGGGACCGGGUCGCGCCGUGCUAUGGCCCUGUACCACACUGAGGAGCGCGGCCAGCCCUGCUCGCAGAAUUACCGCCUCUUCUUUAAGAAUGUAACUGGUCACUACAUUUCCCCCUUUCAUGAUAUUCCUCUGAAGGUGAACUCUAAAGAGGAAAAUGGCAUUCCUAUGAAGAAAGCACGAAAUGAUGAAUAUGAGAAUCUGUUUAAUAUGAUUGUAGAAAUACCUCGGUGGACAAAUGCUAAAAUGGAGAUUGCCACCAAGGAGCCAAUGAAUCCCAUUAAACAAUAUGUAAAGGAUGGAAAGCUACGCUAUGUGGCAAAUAUCUUCCCUUACAAGGGUUAUAUAUGGAAUUAUGGUACCCUCCCUCAGACUUGGGAAGAUCCCCAUGAAAAAGAUAAGAGCACGAACUGCUUUGGAGAUAAUGAUCCUAUUGAUGUUUGCGAAAUAGGCUCAAAGAUUCUUUCUUGUGGCGAAGUUAUUCAUGUGAAGAUCCUUGGAAUUUUGGCUCUUAUUGAUGAAGGUGAAACAGAUUGGAAAUUAAUUGCUAUCAAUGUGAAUGAUCCUGAAGCCUCAAAGUUUCAUGGUCUCAGAAAUAUUACAGUAUAUACAAUAAAUCGCAUAGUCAUCCUGCCUUCACUUGACAGGAGCCAGGCUUCCAGCCUGUCCUACCUGCCUGCACAUCAGGAUUCCUAUG
rnacentral:sRNA from 1 species